GACGAACGCUGGCGGCGUGCUCAACACAUGCAAGUCGAACGGUAAGGCCCUUCGGGGUACACGAGUGGCGAACGGGUGAGUAACACGUGGGUGAUCUGCCCUGCACUUCGGGAUAAGCCUGGGAAACUGGGUCUAAUACCGGAUAGGACCCUGGGAUGCAUGUCCUGGGGUGGAAAGCUUUUGCGGUGUGGGAUGGGCCCGCGGCCUAUCAGCUUGUUGGUGGGGUGAUGGCCUACCAAGGCGACGACGGGUAGCCGGCCUGAGAGGGUGACCGGCCCCACUGGGACUGAGAUACGGCCCAGACUCCUACGGGAGGCAGCAGGGGGGAAUAUUGCACAAUGGGCGCAAGCCUGAUGCAGCGACGCCGCGUGAGGGAUGACGGCCUUCGGGUUGUAAACCUCUUUCAGCACCGACGAAGCGCAAGUGACGGUAGGUGCAGAAGAAGGACCGGCCAACUACGUGCCAGCAGCCGCCGUAA
rnacentral:rRNA from 1 species